GAUAUUAAAGAGAGACUACAGUAUGGAUGUACUUGACAUAAUGGUUCCGCCCCAGGAGAGGGAGAAGCUGAUAAUGAUGUUUGUCCAGCCUCGACAGAGAAUAUGUCGACCUGUCCAGUGGUAACUUGUUGGGACCAGAUAUACUAUAAUUAUUCACAGAUCAAGCUCCAUUGGAACAAGUCACUUCUACUUCAGAGGCAUAAAUUAAUAGUAGAGGACGCUAAAUCGUUCAGAGCAGCUACACAAUUGUUGAUGCGGGGAAAAAGUGGCGGUCUAUCCUAAAGGUUUCAUCUGAAAUGGCAGUUUGUGGAGAAGAGGCCACAGCUCGGCACCAGGUAGAAUCAUGCCAGUCUGUCACUAGUGAUGUCAUCUCACGGACUGUCACUGUGGCCCAGUCUGUCACUAGUGAUGGCAUCUCACAGAAUGUCACUGUGGCCUAGGACCAGGUGAUGUCACCAGUGAUGUCUUCCCACAGAAUGUCACUGUGGCCUAGGACCAGGAGAUGUCACUAGUGAUGUCAUCUCACAGAAUGUCACUGUGGCCUAGGACCAGGAGAUGUCACUAGUGAUGUCAUCUCACGGACUGUCACUGUGGCCUAGGACCAGGUGAUGUCACUAGUGAUGUCAUCUCACAGAAUGUCACUGUGGCCUAGGACCAGGAGAUGAUACAUCUUUAUCAUGGCCAAGCCAUCAUACAAGAUCAAAUUCAUUUGCUCUGAGGUAGAGCCGUGUUGCAGAAUUGCUAUGAACCUAUUAUACACAAACUAUAGUCAAUUCUAUACAGAGUAGAGAGAUUGAUAUUGGAAAACCUGUGAUAGGGUUCUGAGGGAUGGUGUACGUGUCAUGUUAAAAUAACAGAGAAGUAUACGUAUUCUGUUGUAUUUAAAUUCAUUUUGUUAAGUGCAUUACAUGUGAAAUGUAUUCCAUGUUUUUACUGUAAGAUGUGAAUUUAUAAUGCUGGUAGUUCACCGGAAUGUGACAAGCCAGUGACCUAUGAACUUACAACUUUUCAGGGUGUGCCAUAGGUUCUAAUCCUGUUCUGUAAAUCAGGUCAUGUCCCCACCCCGGAUUCCAAAAGAAUUUACAAAUUACAAUAUUAAAAGUAUAUCCAUUCAGGUUGGCAUUGAAUGUCUUCUGGAAAUUUUCUGUUUGCACUUAAAAAUUGAUUCUAACAAUUUAAAAA